UUUCCCAGGAUCCUGAAUCAAAAAACCUUUGGGAAUAGCAAGGUCUCCUUCCAGCACCUUCAAACAUCAUCCUGAAAAGCAACUCCUAUGGAAACAUAACCUGCUUCACAGAAGUCCCAUGAAACGUUGGGAGCAGAGGUGAAAGUAUAGAAUUGAGAUCCACUGCAACUCUGUUGAAGCAAGAUCAGAAUGUUAUCCACAGAAGAAUGCAGAGACCAUCAAAUAUUCUAAGAAAGAUAACAGUUUCUCUUAUCCCCUCCCCCAUUCCACCUGGACAACAAGAAAUGCUCUCAUUGAGCUGGGAUUUUUAAUAGCACAAUUACCCCAACUGAUUAAUCAGAAUUGCUGUUUGUUUGUGCAUAGAAGCAGAAAAUGAGAAGAAAGAAGAGAAAUGCAUGUAAAGAAG